rnacentral:tRNA from 1 species
GAUAGGGUGGCUGAGGUAAGCGGUAAAUUGUAAAUUUAUAUACGAAAUAAUAAUUUCUCCUUUCA